rnacentral:misc_RNA from 1 species
UACUUCUUUUUUCCCUCGGUUAACAGAGGAAGUGAGGUGUUCGGCGCGCAACUCCCGCCGAGCCUGUCUCGCAUCUCUGUUUUUCUUUGUUUUGUUUCUAAUCUCAACGGCGAAGGGCAUCAGCAAUACACUGUCUUUCUGACCAGCCCCAGAAAGCUACGCGCAGCGCUUCUUGCCUUUUGAGAUAAACUGGUGUAUGCGCAGCAUAGAACUGUAGUAGAAACAGCAGCAUUUCUGCUUGUCAUUUCCCACAUACAUGGUAAGCACAUAUAUAACAUGAAUCGCUCGAAAUGGACAUUGCGGCGUCUUAUUCUGGGUCUCAGCGUUGAGGAUGCGCAGAGCAAAUUCGACACGCCAGAGUCUCGUAGCAUUCUUCGCGUAGCGCACGAGCGGUAUAAUCAGGGCAUUUAUCACGAGCUUCACAUCGCACAGCGGCAGCGCAAUGGUCUCGCCCCGGAGCGCAAAUGUCACAUCAGUCGCUUUACGAAACCAAGUGUGCCAGGCUUUCAAGCGUAUCUGAAAGGCUCCCCAGAUGACUAUGUGAUCCGUGAAGUUUGGGAUGACGAUGACAAUGUCGACCUUGAAAGUGGUGCGGUGAGGGCGAAGAACGAAGUGGCUCUUAGUCACAGCAGCGCCAUCAGCAGCGCACGAGCUGUGUCUCCAAAAAUAACGCAAGAGCAAGACGCUUUCAGGACGACAAAAGCGCUGAUCCUGAGAACUCUGGCCUCGGCUCUGCAACUCAUCAUGGAGAGUGUGCUCUCGGAGCUCAAGGGCCGGCGUCAAAGUGGGACACUAUUGUCAAAGGAGCACCAGGGGUCAGUUGUGAAUCGACUAAUGAGCGAAGUGGCCGAGUCCAGCGCGCGGAGCUACAAGAGUCUGUCAUCAUCAUCGCAUCUGCUUGAGCCAGUUGAAAUGGCAGUGACACUGUUUGGUCGCAGAGAUACAGCCGAAGUGCAGGCAUUCAAUAGCGGCGCCUUCACUGUCCCAGCGGCUGAAGGAGACAUCUCCUACUCCUUAUGGGUCGCCGGUGGGAUUGUCGCGAGCGAGGAGCUCAUGGCGGAUUUCCCGUUUCACCUCGCCAAGUUUGUGGCCCCUUCUCAGGCGUCGUCGCCGUCGCAUCGGCUGCCACAUGUGGAGGUGGAAAUCUACUUCUCCUCUGAGCUAUUCCAGCUUGAGAAGACAAUCGGGCCAAACGGCGUCCGUGCGCUGCGCUCGUUUAUCGGCAAGGCCAUGAUGAAGCAGCACGAGCCCACACCAACAUCCACCACGCUGCUUCUGGCCGCAUCAGGAGAGAAAGAGCGCGAUCUUUACAACAUUUACGAUUCAUCGCGCGAUAAUGGUGAAGUUCGAAUUCCGUGGAUACGAAAAGUGGUGACCAAGGUAUCCACGGUAACUGGCGUGGUGUUUAGCGCGGAGGACUCAGAUGAGAAUCCCUCUGUCGAUCGCAUGCGUGCCUCUGUACGCUCCGUCUGGCGAGCGUGGGGCCACCUCGUCAAGGACCUCCACGUUCAUGGUGACCUCGACUACCUCUAUGUCUCCAUCAGCCGUCAGCAGGAGUGGGAGGGCAACGAAGCGUACAUCUCGGAGCUGAAGAAGCUGGAGGCUGCCAGGGACGCCGAGGAGUCUGCCGGACCCGUCGUAGAGACUGCGAACGUAUCCCGUACUCUGAGUCUCGGCAAUGCCGCAACUUUCGCGGCAGCGGACGUCGCAAGGAAAGCGCGCAAAAUGUACCUGCCGAUCUCGGCCGAUUUUGUGGUUGUAGAGUGCACGCUGGAGCGCAAAGGCCUACCACACAACAUGGUCGUCGAGGACAUUGUCUCCACCUUGACGGAGAUGCAGCAAGAGCAGAUGGAGAUGCAGCGGCUGUGUGUUCUCGACGCCAUGGCGAUUCAGGUGGAGGAGAGCGAGACCAAGCCCAGCUCCAGCAGUUGUGCAGUGCAAACUCGAGAUAAGAUUGUUCCGGUGCUCUACGAGCCGAAAAUCGUUGUCUCCCACGCCGGAACGCUGGAAAACGGUACACACUCGUUUCAGCGAAUUCGCAUUCGCGGCAGCUGUCUCGCUCACGUUGAGGCGCUGGCGGCAGCGCUGCAAGACGAGUCUGGAAGCUACUUCACCGACAGGUCGCUGCCCUUCUCCACGGCUUCUGCUACUCUUGCGACAACAGGUAGCAGCGGGGACCAGAAUAACCAGGUGGGAGGGUCGUCGCUUCCAAAAAACCUGUCGUUUCGCGCCGUGCGUGCGCCAAGUGCUCAGCAGCGACUCACCGGCCACAGCGCCCCUUGCACCUCUGCUGUAGGAGACAAGCUCGGCGAUCCCACAUCGUGCAGCCGUCAUUCGCGCUCGCAGACGCUCACGUUUGCCGCUGACAGCUCCACGCUCGUCACAGACGAUGAGCGCCAGUUUUGGAAAGAGAACUAUUACCGGCUCUCUGAGAUGAAGGUUAUUUACCACGAUCGCGUCGACGCGGCAGACGCACUCGGUCAGUCGUGGCAGUCUCUGCCUCCACGUGUCCACGAGCACCUCGCCUUACUGAACCGCCGCCUCGCGCCAGGCGAUUCCGCGGCUAACCAGGAUCAUGAUGAAGAUGGUGGCACCACUGCGUCAGGAAAGCGGAAGCGGAAAAAGGGUGGCAAGAAGACGAAACGGAAGACGACCGAAAAGAAGGAGGCGGCGGCCACCGCAGCACUAGGGCUGGCGCCGGAGAAGCUCUUCGAGUACCUCUGCACCGACAUGGAGGCAGAGAGCGCGCGGCACGACCUGCGUGCCGGUGACUGCAUGGGGUACGACUACCUUCUCAACUUGCGGCGCAUUCCAGACAAGCACCUUCCUCUGGUUGCCCCUGCCGUAGCGUCCGUCGCAUCCAAGGGUUUCAUCAACUACUACGGGCCACAGCGCUUCGCCACCUACACUCGCAUGAACAUGCACCCUGGGCUCCACUUGCUGAAGGGUGAGUACAAGGCGGCGGCACACAUUCUGGUGCAGCAGUUCUACCUCGAUGCCGCAAUGGAGGCGGAGCGGCAGCGCACUGGGCAAGCGUUCCCCCGCGUGCAGGCUCUGCACGGAUACGGUGGGCUUCGCCUGCCAGAUUUCCCGCGUUACGGUACGCGCCGCUCCGUCGCCGAAAACGGAACGCCCAUGCAACGCGUGCUCUACAACGCGCUUCAGGCGUCCGCCUUGCUCGGGGGCGAUGAAGGCCUCGACGGUGACGAUGGCCUGUGUGGCCAGGGCCUCGGCAGCAGCGACCCUGGAUGGGGCGCCUUGGCAACAGCGUCUGGGCAACGCUGUGAGCGAGGCCAACCACGCGCAUCCGGCAGAGCGGCCCGUCUGAAUAGGGAUACCUCUGCCGGUGUUGCUGGUGCUGGUGGUGACGAUGAUCCCUGCGCAGAGGCAUUUCUGCGUGUAAUUGGUCCGCGCGCGUGUGCGAUGCUCAUUCAAGAAUUUUUGAGCUUCGUGUGGAACGACAUUGUCAACCAGAGGUUUCAACGCUACGGCACGUUCACGCUUCUUCCCGGCGACCUCGUGAGGGCCGGCGGGGUCACGGCCGCGGCCUUGCACGACAGUACUGAAGGAGAUGCAGCGAUGAUCUCGCCGUUGGUCCACGCCUCCCGCGGCGAGAUCGAGCGCGGAGCGUUUUCGGUGUGGGAUUUGGUUCUGCCGCUGCCUGGCGCCGGCAUCCGCCUUCCACAGAACCACACGGAGGACUUGUAUGUGGUGGCGUUGCAGCGAUACGGGCUUCCGUUCGAUCCCGAGUCGCGACAGUGGCGCUGCUUCAAGCCGUCACCGCUCGCGCGCGACGGAGGGGAACCAGCGAGGGCCAGGGUGGCGGCGGAAGGCGGGCCCCUCAGCGGCGCGCCUCUGUCUCCGUACUACAAUCUCACCUCCACCUUUGCGCUGAUGGAGGAAGAGCUGGGCUCUCGCACGCUGAGCACGGACGCGCUCCCAUUGUAUGGUGAAGGUCAAGGGGGCCGCUUUGGGGCCAGUGAUGCCAGCCUGCAGGCGAAUGUCGGAUUGAAUGCAGUGGAUCUGAGGCCCGACUUACGCGCUGGCGGCGGCAACCCGCUCGGCCUCACCAUCGGCGCCUCGUAUCGCCAUGUGCUAGUGCGGCCAACCGCCGACACGAUGCAGUGGCGAUUCCUGAAGGGAGUAGUUGGUGACCCGUACCAGAGAUGGGGAAUGACUACCCAAGCACAAGUUCGAGCACUCGAUGCUGUGCAGCUGGCGAGCGCAAGCUUCGCCGCCGACGCGGAGCCGGCGUGGAUGUUUCCGUCGCCUUCUGACGCGCUCACCUCGGUGAACGGGCGUGGUGUGCCGCAGCUGCUAAAUGUGGAGUCAGGCGUGUCGUUGGAGAAAGAGGAAGUGGAGGACGGAUCCCAAGGUGACACGGCGACACAAGCGAGUGUGCCUCAAGCGGCGCCAGCCGGCAUCGAGGCCUCGCAGAGAGGCAGCCGGACUAGAGAUACCGACCCUUUGAUAACAGCAGCGGCCAGGACGGCCGCCGGGUACCGCCAUCAGCGGCGCUGGAUCGGCACCUCGCAGCUGCUGCAAGCGCCGUCGUCCGCCGGGAACUCGUUGACGUCUAGAUCAGAGACGAAGCACCAGCUGGCUCUCCGCCGUCGAGCGCCACCGGCGCCAUCGUGGCUACCGCGGCACCACGGCAGUGUGCUGCAGCUACGUCUGCGUCUCCCAUGCGGCGUGUAUCCGGGCAUGCUUGUGAGAGAGCUCCUCAAGAUGGACGUGAAUACGCCGGAUGUUGUUGACCUCGACAGAGCUGCGUCGUCGUCCUUGCGCACCGACCGCCGCGCACAGUCGUGGCAGGAUCUUACCGCAGACCAGAAGGCCACCUAUCAGAAGUGGAUCGCGAAGCGUCGUCAGCAGCGACGGUUCCUGCAGCAGCCGCGCGCAAUCAGCCUCGCCUUGCUGCACCAACAGAUCUUCCGUAGCAGUGGUAUCCGGCAGAGCUUGCUUCCAACGCUGCGCAGCUACGAUAGCGUGUCAAAGUAAUGCACGACGAAGUAGACGCAGUUAUUCUUGCUGUUCAGCAAUGUAUCUCCACACAAACGCACACACACACACACAGAGCGAGAGCGAGACGCACCCGCCGGCCGAUGAAGGUGUCUCUCUCUCCCUCCUCGCUCUUCUUCACCUCACCCCCUCGUUCAAUAGAGUUUCGUCGUGUCCGUCUCGACGGCUGAUCGUGUUCUUGUGGUAUCCCCAUCACGGCAAGGAAUGCACCAACGAGACUAAAGAAACAAUGCAAGCAGGCGCAGCCAACCCUGCCCGUGGCCCUCGCCACGUUUUACGGUGCACGCAUGCGCAUCCAUCCAUCCAUUCACACACACACACAUACAUACAUACAUACACGUACAUGUACACAGAGAACGCGAGUGGCGAAUGCGGCCAGUGUUGAGAGACACAGAGAGCUCAUGGUGACGGGUGGGCACACGCUUUCGCUGCCACUGUUUUGCUCGCUCGCUUACUGCUUCUGCUUAGGUGCAUGGCCAUGUGGAGCUGGCGUUGCAGCCAUGACCUCUCUCGCACCCGCAGCGGCUGCUGAUCUGCACAGCCUUCCCCUGGCCCGGCAGUCGUCAGCGAUGUGUAUGUGUAGAGCCCCUGUAUGUCGACCACCACUAUCAGCACCCUCUCACGCAAGGAGCAUGCGAGGGCGCUGUCUGUCUGUGUGUGUGGAUGUGUACUGUGAAGCGAUGAGAAGUCGAGCGCUCGACGAGCAAGUCGAUACGCUGCAUUCGCCUUUGCUUUGCUGGUUUCCUUGCCCCGCCCCCUCAGCCUCUCUUGUUCAUGUGAAGCGCAUGCAGAGGCGCGCUAUCGGUGCACGCGCUGAUACGAGUGCGAUGCGCACGGCCCGCACAGACACCUACUCGCUCCUUUGCUUCGCUUGGCUCUACUCCUCUCGUGUUGCAGCUGGCUUUCUUUGUGUGCCACUAUCAGUACGACCGCUUCAACGAAGCUCAGCUCGCCACCCCUUCCUCUUCCCCUUCCCAUCCCCCCUCCUCCUACCGUCACCGCCCCAUCGCACGUGUGUGCUGUGUGGCUCGUCAG